rnacentral:rRNA from 1 species
GCNGGCGGUUAGAUAAGUCUGAAGUUAAAGGCUGUGGCUUAACCAUAGUACGCUUUGGAAACUGUUUAACUUGAGUGCAGAAGGGGAGAGUGGAAUUCCAUGUGUAGCGGUGAAAUGCGUAGAUAUAUGGAGGAAUACCGGUGGCGAAAGCGGCUCUCUGGUCUGUAACUGACGCUGAGGCUCGAAAGCGUGGGGAGCGAACAGGAUUAGAUACCCUGGUAGUCCACGCCGUAAACGAUGAGUGCUAGGUGUUAGGCCCUUUCCGGGGCUUAGUGCCGCAGCUAACGCAUUAAGCACUCCGCCUGGGGAGUACGACCGCAAGGUUGAAACUCAAAGGAAUUGACGGGGGCCCGCACAAGCGGUGGAGCAUGUGGUUUAAUUCGAAGCAACGCGAAGAACCUUACCAGGUCUUGACAUCCCGAUGCCCGCUCUAGAGAUAGAGUUUUACUUCGGUACAUCGGUGACAGGUGGUGCAUGGUUGUCGUCAGCUCGUGUCGUGAGAUGUUGGGUUAAGUCCCGCAACGAGCGCAACCCUUAUUGUUAGUUGCCAUCAUUCAGUUGGGCACUCUAGCGAGACUGCCGGUAAUAAACCGGAGGAAGGUGGGGAUGACGUCAAAUCAUCAUGCCCCUUAUGACCUGGGCUACACACGUGCUACAAUGGCUGGUACAACGAGUCGCAAGUCGGUGACGGCAAGCUAAUCCCUUAAAGCCAGUCUCAGUUCGGAUUGUAGGCUGCAACUCGCCUACAUGAAGUCGGAAUCGCUAGUAAUCGCGGAUCAGCACGCCGCGGUGAAUACGUUCCCGGGCCUUGUACACACCGCCCGUCACACCACGAGAGUUUGUAACACCCGAAGUC